rnacentral:rRNA from 1 species
UAGGGAAUAUUGGUCAAUGGGUGAGAGCCUGAACCAGCCAUGCCGCGUGCAGGAAGACGGCCUUAUGGGUUGUAAACUGCUUUUGUCAGGGGAUAAAAUCACCUUGCGAGGUGAAUUGAAAGUACCUGUCGAAUAAGCCACGGCUAACUACGUGCCAGCAGCCGCGGUAAUACGUAGGUGGCAAGCGUUGUCCGGAUUUAUUGGGUUUAAAGGGUGCGUAGGCGGCCUUGUAAGUCAGUAGUGAAAUAUCUCAGCUUAACUGAGAGGGUGCUAUUGAUACUGCAGGGCUUGAGUACAGAUGAGGUAGGCGGAAUUGACGGUGUAGCGGUGAAAUGCAUAGAUAUCGUCAAGAACACCGAUAGCGAAGGCAGCUUACUAAGUUGUAACUGACGCUGAGGCACGAAAGUGUGGGGAUCAAACAGG